rnacentral:rRNA from 1 species
GAUGAACGCUAGCGGGAGGCCUAACACAUGCAAGCCGAGCGGUAGAGUUUCUUCGGAAACUUGAGAGCGGCGCACGGGUGCGUAACACGUGUGCAACCUACCUUUAUCUGGGGGAUAGCCUUUCGAAAGGAAGAUUAAUACCCCAUAAUAUAAUGAUUGGCAUCAAUUAUUAUUGAAAACUCCGGUGGAUAGAGAUGGGCACGCGCAAGAUUAGAUAGUUGGUGAGGUAACGGCUCACCAAGUCAAUGAUCUUUAGGGGUCCUGAGAGGGAGAUCCCCCACACUGGUACUGAGACACGGACCAGACUCCUACGGGAGGCAGCAGUGAGGAAUAUUGGACAAUGGGUGAGAGCCUGAUCCAGCCAUCCCGCGUGAAGGAGGACGGCCCUAUGGAUUGUAAACUUCUUUUGUACAGGGAUAAACCUACCCUCGUGAGGGUAGCUGAAGGUACUGGACGAAUAAGCACCGGCUAACUCCGUG